rnacentral:rRNA from 1 species
GUUGUAUGGUUAAGUGACUAAGCGUAC